GACGAACGCUGGCGGCGUGCUUAACACAUGCAAGUCGAACGCUGAAGACCUGGCUUUUGUUGGGUUGGAUGAGUGGCGAACGGGUGAGUAACACGUGAGUAACCUGCCCUCUUCUUUGGGAUAACGCCCGGAAACGGGUGCUAAUACUGGAUAUUCACUGAUCUUCGCAUGGGGGUUGGUGGAAAGGUUUGUUCUGGUGGGGGAUGGGCUCGCGGCCUAUCAGCUUGUUGGUGGGGUGAUGGCCUACCAAGGCUUUGACGGGCAGCCGGCCUGAGAGGGUGACCGGUCACAUUGGGACUGAGAUACGGCCCAGACUCCUACGGGAGGCAGCAGUGGGGAAUAUAGCACAAUGGGCGAAAGCCUGAUGCAGCGACGCCGCGUGAGGGAUGGAGGCCUUCGGGUUGUAAACCUCUUUCGCUCAUGGUCAAGCCGCAACUGUGGGUUGUGGUGAGGGUAGUGGGUAAAGAAGCGCCGGCUAACUACGUG
rnacentral:rRNA from 1 species